rnacentral:rRNA from 1 species
CGUAGGGGCGAAGCGUUGUCCGGAUUUAUUGGGCGUAAAGAGCGUGUAGGCGGCCAGAUAGGUCAGCUGUGAAAACUCGAGGCUCAACCUCGAGAUGUCGGCUGAAACCAUUUGGCUAGAGUCCGGAAGAGGAGAAUGGAAUUCCCGGUGUAGCGGUAAAAUGCGCAGAUAUCGGGAAGAACACCCGUGGCGAAGGCGGUUCUCUGGGACGGUACUGACGCUGAGACGCGAAAGCGUGGGGAGCGAACAGGAUUAGAUACCCUGGUAGUCCACGCCGUAAACGAUGGGAACUAGGUGUGGGCGGUGUCGACUCCGUCCGUGCCGAAGCUAACGCAUUAAGUUCCCCGCCUGGGGAGUACGGCCGCAAGGCUA